AUUGAACGCUGGCGGCAUGCUUUACACAUGCAAGUCGAACGGUAACAGGCCUUCGGGUGCUGACGAGUGGCGAACGGGUGAGUAAUGCAUCGGAACGUACCCAGAGGUGGGGGAUAACGCAGCGAAAGCUGUGCUAAUACUGCAUGUGAUCUGAGGAUGAAAGCGGGGGACCGAGCAGCAAUGUUUGGCCUCGCGCCUUUGGAGCGGCCGAUGUCGGAUUAGCUAGUUGGUGGGGUAAAGGCCUACCAAGGCGACGAUCCGUAGCUGGUCUGAGAGGACGACCGGCAACCCUGGAACUAGGCAACGGCCAGGCCCCCUACGGAAGGCGGCGGUGGGAAUUUUGGACAAUGGGCGCAAGCCUGAUCCAGCAAUGCCGCGUGCGGGAAGAAGGCCUUCGGGUUGUAAACCGCUUUUGGCAGGAACGAAACGGUGUCCGCUAAUACCGGGCGCUAAUGACGGUACCUGCAGAAUAAGCACCGGCUAACUACGUG
rnacentral:rRNA from 1 species